UACGAGAGGGGCGAGCGUUAUUCGGAAUGAUUGGGCGUAAAGAGCGUGUAGGCGGCCAAGCAGGUCCGCUGUGAAAACUCGAGGCUCAACCUCGAGACGUCGGUGGAAACCGUUUGGCUAGAGUCCGGAAGAGGAGAGUGGAAUUCCCGGUGUAGCGGUGAAAUGCGCAGAUAUCGGGAAGAACACCCGUGGCGAAGGCGGCUCUCUGGGACGGUACUGACGCUGAGACGCGAAAGCGUGGGGAGCGAACAGG
rnacentral:rRNA from 1 species